GGGUCUUUAUCAUUGCAAAGUGUUUGAAAGACAGUGGGGCCCCGUUUAUUAAGUAUCCUAUAGUUUGUAUAUCUUAGUGCAUUGGUAAGAGUACGGUGUACAGAUGUAUCAUAUUGUAAAGUAACGUAGAUAGGCCUGUCUAUCAAAUUAGAGGCAGGGAUCUGAGUUCGAAACUGGGAGAAGCGGUUAAGCGUUUUUGUCCAAAUGCGAUUCAUGAAAUUGAAAUUGUAUCCAUGUUUGGACCCAAUGUUAAGGACGGAUUGGCGCUCAUGUUCUUUAUCGGACCACUUAGUGACAUGGGUGGGGAUCCUGGAGGGGGGAGCCCUGGGGGCUGCAGCUUUAUAUGCGGGUGGGUCCCUGGACCGUGCUGGGAUGGCGACCGGACUGUGGGUCGGUUUCUUAUAUAUACUAGU
rnacentral:lncRNA from 1 species